GCAUUGUUUUUUGCAUGUGUUCAGUAAGUGCUGUGGAAAUUGCUGCUGACAGUUUAUUCAAUUAUGAUUGUGAUUCAACUCUCCACUCUACUCAGGGGUGAUUCCACUGUAUUCUGGAGUAUGUGCUUUAGUCCCAUCUCUGCCCUUCCUGGCUGCGGGUGGAGGAGUUUGCUUGACUCCUCUCAGGCAUGAUUUCCUCCUGGAGGUGAUAAUAUCUCCAGAAGAUAUGAAGAGUAGAGUCAGGGACCCAAUGACUAUUUGUCAAACUUCUUCUCCAGGACAGAGGAGGAGCAGCAAGGACAGCUCUGAGCAAGAGAAUCAUAGGAAGGAAAUCUCUCAGUCAGCCAUGCCAGGUGGUGGUGUUGCACUUGUGUCUAUCAUGGUCCUCUGGGAUUGGGAAGAUGUGCCGGACUGAUAAUGUUAUUCACAGAGGUAGGGGGUCUCCCACUUGCCUACUCCCAAUUUAUUCAGAGAAGGCUAAGUCUGAAUUCCUUCUCUGCCAUUUCCUGACUGUAAGAGCUUGGGCAAAUUACUCAGCUUCUCUGGGCCA
rnacentral:lncRNA from 1 species